AUUUAGAAGCAGGGACGAUGAAGAGGAACCAGCAAACAAGACUGAAACAGAGCAACCCAAAAUACAGGAAGAAAACCAGAUGAGUUUGUGUCUUCAAAGCCAACUGAAGGAAGUUAUUAAGUUCAUCUUCUCCCAUGUGCCCCACUUUGAAGAGAGAGAAGUAGAGGCUCCAUGCGGCAGAAUUUUGGACCCCAGUCCUAGAAAACACACCUGAAGAUGUUUCGCAUUUUACAUUUGAAAGAACCUUGCCAGCACCCAAUCCUAAGGUAUGGGUUCUGCAGCUGAUUCAGAAGGCAUGCAGGUGCUCCAGGCUUGGACCAGGACCUUCACUUACAAAGUCACAGACUCCUCUGAGAAUCUAAUGAGAGCUUUGGAUCCUCCAUAUUCCCCCAAACAGUGUUCAUAUAAUGAAAAUAUUGCUGUAAGUUCACAGGAUUCACAGACACCCCCCUCCCAAGUUGCUCAUCCGUGGUUCUACUAAGGAGUUUCAAGUCUGGCUGUAGACUAAACCCAACAGCAAGAAGCCCACAAAGAAAAGGAAGUGACUCCUUCUUGUGAAAACCAUAGCAACUCUGAAGGCGAACACGCACUGUGCCUUCGAGAACCUCGCUCUAGCUCUGACGUCUGCAAGUGUAAUCUUCUGAGACUGAGUUGCUCUACAGAAAUUUCCCUCUCUUUUGUGGUUUUAAGAAACAUCUUGGGAGAAAUAAAAUCUAAUAGGCAACACAUGACCACGUUACCUUCAAUACUGUAUUCAUCUUUCGACAAUCUAAAUAAUUUUUUGAGAAGUUCUUGGAGGAAAACCCAAUUUUAUUUUUUCCAGAAUCUUUCCUGGAUCUUCACUCUCUGUUCUUCCACAUACAGACUAGAAGGCAGGAAUAGAUGGAGAAGCUGAACUUGAAGGCCAAGUCUAUCAUUUAAGAGGAGGAAGGGAACUUUGCAAAUUUUUGGUAUCUCGCUCAAGCCCUGAACUGAGCAUCAUCUAGAGGCUUUCCAACCUAUAAGCAUUUAUUGGAUGGUGUAGCAGUUGGAAACUCUGAGUGUCCACUGCAUAAGGGGACCCAGUCCUAUGGCAGAUGAGGAGAAAUACCAGAUAACCCAUCUCAGGACUAGAGAGAGCUACUCUUCUAAGUCUAUACUCUCCCAGGAGGGGGUCAAUAGGGUCUCUGCGUGGAUGAAGAAACAUAAUAUCUUCUGAGUAUAUUCUUAUUAUUAUUAUUAACGAUUGAUUUUUCUCAGGAAGUAAAU